rnacentral:rRNA from 1 species
UACGUAGGGUGCAAGCGUUGUCCGGAAUUAUUGGGCGUAAAGAGCUUGUAGGCGGUUUGUCGCGUCUGCUGUGAAAUUUCGGGGCUCAACCCCGAACUUGCAGUGGGUACGGGCAGACUAGAGUGUGGUAGGGGAGACUGGAAUUCCUGGUGUAGCGGUGGAAUGCGUAGAGAUCGGGAAGAACAUCAGUGGCGAAGGCGGUCUGCUGGGCCGUUGCUGACGCUGAGGAGCGAAAGUGUGGGGAGCGAACAGG